CCGCCCCUGCGGUGUUCGUGAUCGCCAGUAGUUUUUUGAGCCAACACCUUCGUGCCGGGAGUUCCGACUGCUUCGGUGAGCCGGGGUUUUACCCCGAGCCUAAAGAAGCUUGAUGAGCGCCCACCUUAAAUGAGGGUCAAAAAGUCUGUCGACACGGCACAGGCGGGGGCAGC
rnacentral:other from 1 species